rnacentral:misc_RNA from 1 species
UAGGCUUGACAUGUACGGGUAAGCCCUCGUUUCUGAGGGCUUACCCGUACAUGUCAAGCCUAGGUAAGGUUCUUCGCGUUGCGUCGAAUUAAACCACAUGCUCCACCGCUUGUGCGGGCCCCCGUCAAUUCCUUUGAGUUUUAGCCUUGCGGCCGUACUCCCCAGGCGGGGCACUUAAUGCGUUAGCUUCGGCACGGAGGGAGUCGACACCCCCCACACCUAGUGCCCAUCGUUUACAGCGUGGACUAC